UACGUAGGGGGCUAGCGUUGUCCGGAAUCAUUGGGCGUAAAGCGCGUGUAGGCGGUCCGGUAAGUCCGCUGUGAAAGUCGGGGGGCUCAACCCUCGGAUGCCGGUGGAUACUGUCGGGCUUGAGUACGGAAGAGGCGAGUGGAAUUCCCGGUGUAGAGGUGAAAUUCGUAGAUAUCGGGAGGAACACCAGUGGCAAAGGCGGCGAUCUGGGAAGAUACUGACGCGUGAGGUGCGAAAGCGUGGGGAGCAAACAGG
rnacentral:rRNA from 1 species